rnacentral:rRNA from 1 species
UACAGAGGGGGCGAGCGUUGUUCGGAAUUACUGGGCGUAAAGCGCGCGUAGGCGGCCCGGUAAGUCCGCUGUGAAAGUCAAAGGCUCAACCUUUGAAUGUCAGCGGAUACUGCCGGGCUAGAGUCCGGAAGAGGCGAGUGGAACUCCUGGUGUAGCGGUGGAAUGCGCAGAUAUCAGGAAGAAUACCAACGGCGAAGGCAGCUCGCUGGGACGGAACUGACGCUGAGGCGCGAAAGCGUGGGGAGCGAACAGG